GCGCUCGCUCCGGCAGCACAUAUUCUCAGAUUGGAAUGAUACAGAGAAAAUUAGCAUGGCCCCUGCGCAAGGAUGGCAUGCAAACUCGUGCAGCGUUAUGUGUUUUU
ensembl:snRNA U6 U6 spliceosomal RNA